GGGGGCGUCCUGGAUUCGACAGGGAUUGGUCUGACUUUAGCGGCAGUCGGAGGUACACGUUAAGUACACCCAAAAAAUAACUGGAAACAGAACAAAUUACGCUUUUGCCUAAUUAAGUCGACAUAGACUUUGGCAAACGUUAGCUAGCCUAGCUCCCAUCUAGGUUAUCCUAACGUCAUAACGAUGGGAUAAGCACCUGAUAUGUCUGGAAUCAGGUGACGAAAACCUGACAGACUCGCUUUGUGAAAGAGGGCUUACUGAUCGUAGCAAAGUUAAAUUCAUUCAGAAAGCUAAACUGUAGAUGCUUUAGGGGGAUGAUCUUUGGACGCGGGUUCGAUUCCCGCCGCCUCCACCA
rfam:Clostridiales bacterium CHKCI006 isolate CHKC6 genome assembly, contig: {contig109}